rnacentral:rRNA from 1 species
ACUUGGAUAACUGUAGUAAUUCUAGAGCUAAUACAUGAAUAUGUGCUUUGGUUCACGCCAAAUGCGAAUUUAUUAGAUCAAAACCAACCGGUUUCGGCCGUUAAAUUGGUGACUCUGGAUAACUAUUCUGAUCGCAUGACCUUGUGUCGGCGACGUAUCUUUCAAGUGUCUGCCCUAUCAACUUAAGUUGGUGAGUUAGUUGCUCACCAUGGUUAUAACGGGUAACGGAGAAUCAGUGUUCGAUACCGGAGAGGGAGCCUUAGAAACGGCUACCACAUCUAAGGAAGGCAGCAGGCGCGCAAAUUACCCACUCUCAGAUCGAGGAGGUAGUGAAUUUAAAUAGCGAUGAUGAACUCUUAUGAGGAUCGUCAAUCGAAAUGAGUACAAUUUAAAUCCUUUAACGAGUACCAAUUGGAGGGCAAGUCUGGUGCCAGCAGCCGCGGUAAUUCCAGCUCCAAUAGCGAAUAUUAAAUUUGUUGCAGUUAAAAAGCUCGUAGUUGGAUCCAAGGUUAGGCAUGCCUGUCUGUUCUUAGUAGCAUGACUGUGUGUGUCUGCCUUUAUUAGUUGAAUGUUCAUUAUGGUGGUCUUCAUCGACUGCUAUGAUGUGCUCAACACGUUUACCUUGAAAAAAUCAGGGCGAUCAAGGCAGGCCUUCGUGCUUGUAUGUUGUUGCAAGGAAUAAUAGAAUAGGACUUCGGUUCUAUUUUGUUGGUUUUGAGAAUUGAAGUAAUGAACAAUAGAGACAGCCGGGGGCAUUUGUAUGGUGGCGUUAGAGGUGAAAUUCUGAGAUCGUCGCCAGACAAACUACUGCGAAAGCAUUUGCCAAGGAUGUCUUCAUUAAUCAAGAACGAAAGUCAGAGGUUCGAAGACGAUCAGAUACCGUCCUAGUUCUGACCAUAAACGAUGCCGACCUACAAUCGGGGGUGGUUUAUUAUAUUGACCCUCCCGGCUGUCCUCAGGAAACUUUAAGUUGGUUCUGGGGGGAAUAUGGUCUCAAGACUGAAACUUAAAGGAAUUGACGGAAGGGCACCACCAGGAGUGGAGCCUGCGGCUUAAUUUGACCCAACACGGGGAAUCUCACCCGGUCCGGACACUGGUAGGAUGGACAGAUUGAUAGCUCUUUCUUGAUUCAGCGGGUGGUGGUGCAUGGCCGUUCUUAGUUGGUGGAGUGAUUUGUCUGGUUAAUUCCGAUAACGAACGAGACUCUGUCCUGCUAAAUAGUCCAGUGGCAUCAAUCACUAUGUGAUUACAGCUGCUGUUACUUCUUAGAGGGAUUCGCGGAUUUAAACCGCAAGAAAUAGAGCAAUAACAGGUCUGUGAUGCCCUUAGAUGUCCGGGGCCGCACGCGCGCUACAUUGACAG